rnacentral:rRNA from 1 species
UACGUAGGGUGCAAGCGUUGUCCGGAAUUAUUGGGCGUAAAGAGCUCGUAGGCGGUCUGUCGCGUCUGCUGUGAAAACUCAGGGCUUAACCCUGAGCUUGCAGUGGGUACGGGCAGACUAGAGUGCGGUAGGGGAGACUGGAAUUCCUGGUGUAGCGGUGAAAUGCGCAGAUAUCAGGAGGAACACCGGUGGCGGAAGGCGGGUCUCUGGGCCGUAACUGGACGC